rnacentral:lncRNA from 1 species
UUAACUCAAUGGGUAUCGUCCCCAACUCAUGCCAGGGGUCACACCCUGGACCUGGUUCUCUCUUUUGGUCUCCCUGUCAUGAACCUUGAGACUUUGCCUCUUGUGUUCUCUGACCACUCUCCUAUACUCUGUGAUGUUACGUUGCCAUGUCCUGUCCCUGUGUGUGAAGCUCCAGCUACUAGGUUCAGAGCCCUGGAUGCAGAAACUGUUUCAAAGUUUGUGGACUGUAUGUCUGUAAGGUUAGAGUCCUUUAACCCAGAUCCAUCUAACAUUGAUCAUUGCUCACAACACUUUGAUGUACUUUGUAAUCAGGUCCUGGGUGUGGAUAGAACCGAAGAACACACACUGCUGCAUUAAUGCAGGACAAUCCUCUGCACAGACCAUCUUUGUGAUAUGGCAUUCUUGAUUACUUGCAUGGUCGACAGUGAUGGUCGCUCAGAUGCCCACAGACAGGGGCACCGUAAAGGUGAGGGGGGGGGGGGGAUUGGUUAGGACGAUUCUAAAGGCUGUGUUGUGCCCAAACACAUUCACUGAACAAUCGUUCGUCAAUUCGUUCGUGUUUUCUUUUGUGAACGUGACCUGAACUCGUUCGUAUUUUGCCUGACGAACGUAAAAGUGAGUGCGGGUUAGGGUUAGGACUAUGAACUAUUUCGUUUUUUCAACAAUGAACUUAGUUCAACAUUUUUUUUAAUUAUACAGAAAUAUUAUAAAGAAACAAACUAGUUCAUUUUACAAUGUAUGAACUGAACUUUGAACUAGUUCGUUUUUUUAAACAAACUUUCCCAACACUGUCUAAGGGCCCACGACUGUCAGGAGGCCCAAAAAAGUUUCAAACUUGAAUUAAAAGCACUUUACUUUGCAGUAUUUUUUAAUUUAAGACAUUAAACCAACAAUAUUUUUGUCUUAAUGAAAUGUAUGUUUAUCCAGAGGUCUCUACUUUAUUUGACCCCCCCCCCUAUUCCACAAAUUGGUAGGGUCCACUCAAGCGGUUUCUCUGAUGAUAGCAGAGCUGGGAGCUGCAAAGUUUCACAGGAGGAGAGAAUGACCAGUAAGUUAAUCA